rnacentral:lncRNA from 1 species
UUUGCAUUGCAUGUUUCAAAACUUUUGGGUUUGGAGAGUGCCGUUAGACCUAAACCCGUCCCGUGUAAUAGAAACUAGACGUAGUAAGGGGGUCGAUGCAACAGAGAACUGCAGAAGAGAAGAUCAAGACAGACGGAUGGACACCAAACCUUAUUUGGAUAAGCAAUUAGGACAACUUAAACUGUCUGGUGUGAGAAGAAUAAGGAAUAAAUUGGAUCCAGUCUGACAAGAGUUAUGGGAUCAGAAAUCAGGACCAUAGUAUUGGAAGCAUUGUAUAAAGGUUUAAAGGAUUUUCUCAAAUGGAGCACGACGUUACUGCAAUCGCUUCAUGAGAUUAAAAUACUUCAAUGUAUACUCUUCAUCAAGAUGCCUGUUCCAGUAAUAUUAUUAAAGAGAAAGGAAUGAAGGUUCAAAGAUGAGGGAAAAUGAUACUCCAUAUGAUUCGAUAUAAGUAAA